GAUGAACGCUGGCGGCGUGCCUAAUACAUGCAAGUCGAGCGAACGGACGAGAAGCUUGCUUUUCUGAUGUUAGCGGCGGACGGGUGAGUAACACGUGGAUAACCUAUCUAUAAGACUGGGAUAACUUCGGGAAACCGGAGCUAAUACCGGAUAAUAUUUUGAACCGCCUGGUUCAAAAGUGAAAGACGGUCUUGCUGUCACUUAUAGAUGGAUCCGCGCUGCAUUAGCUAGUUGGUAAGGUAACGGCUUACCAAGGCAACGAUGCAUAGCCGACCUGAGAGGGUGAUCGGCCACACUGGAACUGAGACACGGUCCAGACUCCUACGGGAGGCAGCAGUAGGGAAUCUUCCGCAAUGGGCGAAAGCCUGACGGAGCAACGCCGCGUGAGUGAUGAAGGUCUUCGGAUCGUAAAACUCUGUUAUUAGGGAAGAACAUAUGUGUAAGUAACUGUGCACAUCUUGACGGUACCUAAUCAGAAAGCCACGGCUAACUACGU
rnacentral:rRNA from 1 species